UAACGCUGUGACAGAAGCAUGGCUCAUACCACCCGGAAAACCUCCAGUUUUCCAUCAACAAUGCCAGAGCGCAGAUGCUACUAUGUUGCAAAUGAGCAGCACCAAAUUACAUGCAAGUCAUUUCAGAGGAGGAAAAAAGCUGUUGGAAACAGAAAUCAUGAGGACUUACAAGUUGCCUGCUGAGGUCCCUUUGACAACAGUGUCUUUCAGGAUUCAUUUGCACCUUUCAUCAGGACAUUUUGGAGAAAAAAAUGGAAGGAAUUAAUAGCUAUCCGUAAUUACGCCUCAGAUUGGCAGUGCCUGGGGGUUAAUGGAGUUCAUAUCUCCAAGUUGCCAUUCCUGAGUUUUAGCCACCAACUUAUGCUCCCUUGUUUCUGCAAAUGUGUCAUUUUGGAUGCAGCAAUGAGGAAGAGUGCAUGAGCUUCAGUCUCCGGUUAUGAUUUCAAACUCACAAAAAAAUUUGUGAAAUGGGGGAUUGGAAAGGAAAUCAGCAAUUAACAGCUCCUGACUAGGACACGGGCAAUGCCAGGAAACAUUCAGAAAAAUAACCCAUGGCAGUUGCUGAAAGGGGACUAGCAAAUGGAUAAGAGGGAGUAGCAAACUAGAUGCUGGUUUAUAAAAUGAGAGGGUCUGAUUUUGACCUGAAGAGAGGUGAAGAACAUUGUAUCACAGAGGAGAAGGGAGAUGGCUUCUCUCUGCAGGGUGCUGCUGAGUCUGAGCCAUUCUCUGAACAGAGAAAGCAACUGCAGGCAUUCGUGUGUCAAGGCGACAUCAUAUUGGAAAGAAUUCAACAAUGAACAACAAUCAAAUAACUAAAGGGAAGAUUAAAUAACUAAAUAGUACAGUUUGGAUAAGUAAAUCCCUAAGAAGAAGAUAAAAUCAUUUGAAGGUGUCAACAUCAAGGAGAGAGCGCUGUUUACACAGCUCUAGAUAAAGCGUAACAAGAAAGGAAAAUACCUUUUCUUGCAGAAAGGGAAAAUGCAGACUGGCAGCAAGAACGGCUAACCUGCUGCUGCUGACCUUCACAGCCCUUUCAACCCCCUACCAAAACCUCUGUUGGUGUAGAGGUUGUCAGGUGAGCACCCAGGACUGCUCAGAGCCACUAUAGCAACAUCUUUCUGCAAAGCGACCUGCCACACAUGUCAUGUGUGCUGCACACCAGCAGGUAAGGGCCAGCAUUACCAUUCCUCUGCACCUC